AGAACGAACGCUGGCGGCGUGGAUAAGACAUGCAAGUCGAACGGGAUUACUUCUAGUAGCAAUACCUGAAGUAAUUUAGUGGCGAACGGGUGCGUAACACGUGGGGAAUCUGCCGAGAAGUGGGGGAUAGCUCGUCGAAAGGCGAAUUAAUACCGCAUAUGAUCAGGGAAGACAUCUUUCCAACAUCAAAGCCGGGGCAACCUGGCGCUUCUUGAUGACCCCGCGGCCUAUCAGCUAGUUGGUGAGGUAACGGCCCACCAAGGCUAUGACGGGUAGCUGGUCUGAGAGGACGACCAGUCACACUGGAACUGAGACACGGUCCAGACACCUACGGGUGGCAGCAGUCGAGAAUUUUUCUCAAUGGGGGCAACCCUGAAGGAGCGACGCCGCGUGGAGAUGAAGGCUUCGGUGUAAACUCCUGUCAUUUGAGAACAAGUGUAGCCAAGUAACUACUGGCUACUUGAUAGUAUCAGAAGAGGAAGGACGGACUAACGUCUGUGCCACG
rnacentral:rRNA from 1 species